UCCACAUCAACAUUUUUUUAUUUGUUUAAUAAAACUUUCUUUCUUUCCUCGACUCCGUCUUCCCAUCGCUGUCCCCUAGCUUUCUUCACGACGCGACUCUUCCCUCUCCUCGCCGCCGUCCUCAACGUGACUUUUCCCUCUCCUAGCCAUGGCUCUUCCUCACAGUGAGGUCGUUCUCUUGGCGGCCAAAGCCAACGACAACGCUGUCCGAUCCUGCCUUCUCCUCUAUAAGUGGUUCCCUGUCUCCUCCACUCCCAUCGACGGUAGCCGCCCAAUCGUAGGAACACCCGCCGAGGAAGUUCUGAUAUGUACUGGAAACUUACAAAAUAGCGUAUCAAAAGAUGGUAAAUUAAUAUUUGUGUGAAGAACGACUCCUAUCGAGAAACUAGUAAGAGAUCCAACACAAGUUACAGGGAGAUUACCUUUGUUCACGUGUUUGCUCAACCAGAGUGAAUUGCUGCUGCACCAUCAGUAGGAUUUGGACGUGCCCCUCCAAUAGGGCCUGGUUGUUGCCUGAAACAGUUAAGGAGGUUUUGGAUUUGACUAACAAGUCGAUUUGUCACUUCAUUAAGGCUGUAAUUUAUUUAUUUUUUCAAUAAAGUAACACAUUUAUCAUUAAUAAAGCAAUUAUGUUCAUGAGGUUCA